rnacentral:rRNA from 1 species
AUUGAACGCUGGCGGCAGGCCUAACACAUGCAAGUCGAACGAGUGGCGGACGUGUGUGUAAUGUCUGGGAAACUGCCUGAUGGAGGGGGAUAACUACUGGAAACGGUAGCUAAUACCGCAUACCAUAAGAUGUGCCCAGAUGGGAUUAGCUAGUUGGUGGGGUAACGUCUCCCCAAGGCGACGAUCCCUAGCUGGUCUGAGAGGAUGACCAGCCGCACUGGAAAUGAUACACGGUCAAGACGCGUACGGGAGGCAGCAGUGGGGAAUAUUGCACAAUGGGCGCAAACCUGACGAAGCCAUGCCGCGUGUGUGAAGAAGGCCGUGGGGUUGUAAAAUACUUCCAGCGGGGAGGCGUAACCCGCAGAAGAAGCAACGGCUAACUCCGUCCCGGCAGCCGCGGUAAUAC